rnacentral:rRNA from 1 species
UACGGAGGGAGCUAGCGUUGUUCGGAAUUACUGGGCGUAAAGCGCACGUAGGCGGCGACUCAAGUCAGAGGUGAAAGCCCCGGGGCUCAACCCCGGAACUGCCUUUGAAACUAGGUUGCUAGAAUCCUGGAGAGGUGAGUGGAAUUCCGAGUGUAGAGGUGAAAUUCGUAGAUAUUCGGAAGAACACCAGUGGCGAAGGCGACUGACUGGACAAGUAUUGACGCUGAGGUGCGAAAGCGUGGGGAGCAAACAGG